UCGCCGCGGUAAUACGGAGGGUGCAAGCGUUAAUCGGAAUUACUGGGCGUAAAGCGCACGCAGGCGGUCUGUCAAGUCAGAUGUGAAAUCCCCGGGCUUAACCUGGGAACUGCAUUUGAAACUGGCAGGCUAGAGUCUUGUAGAGGGGGGUAGAAUUCCAGGUGUAGCGGUGAAAUGCGUAGAGAUCUGGAGGAAUACCGGCGGCGAAGGCGGCCCCCUGGACAAAGACUGACGCUCAGGUGCGAAAGCGUGGGGAGCAAACAGGAUUAGAUACCCGCGUAGUCCCUGUCUCUUAUACACA
rnacentral:rRNA from 1 species